UACGUAGGUGCCAAGCGUUGUCCGGAUUUACUGGGCGUAAAGAGCGCGCAGGCGGUCGAUCAAGUCGAGUGUGAAAGCCCCCGGCUCAACUGGGGAGGGUCAUUCGAUACUGAUCGACUCGAAGGCAGGAGAGGGUAGUGGAAUUCCCGGUGUAGUGGUGAAAUGCGUAGAUAUCGGGAGGAACACCAGUGGCGAAGGCGACUACCUGGCCUGUUCUUGACGCUGAGGCGCGAAAGCUAGGGGAGCAAACGGG
rnacentral:rRNA from 1 species